rnacentral:lncRNA from 12 species
CAGAGCUGUGGCUGCUUGGCCAUCCCCCUUUGGAGGGCUGGCUGCCAGAUGUCUUAAGGACCUUAGUCUUGCAUUCAGGCUCUUGGCCCUGAUGAAGCUGAAGCUGCCUGCAGGCAGCUUUUGGACAGCUGGAUGAAGAUAUCACUCGUCAAGCAUCAGCCCUCUCCAGGUGGCAUGGAUCUUCAUUUGGAUUUCACGAGACAUAAACAACAGCAGCUUGUGAAGGC